rnacentral:lncRNA from 1 species
UCACUAUAAAUAAGAGGGUAGGCUUUCAGAUAAGUUAUUUUCAAAAUUGUUCUUUCUCUCAACCUUUUUUUUCUCAUUUAUAUUUUAUUGAAUUCUGACUGACUUGAACAUAGAAGUACGUUCGCUAGAAAAAUUCUGACAAGAAGCAAAUUACCAAGAAGCAGUGAUAGCCACGUAGGCUCGCAUAGCAAAUUAUGAGCUUACCGGCCUCAUGGUCACCUGGUUUUGCCGUCUCAGCCUGAUCUCGAAAUUCAGCAACAAUACAGACAAC